rnacentral:tRNA from 1 species
GCAACUUUGGCCGAGCGGUUAAGGUUAGUGACAUAAUCGCCUUAAUUCAACUGAACUAAACUAACAAACUCAACAGGCGCCAGACUCAAGAGAAAUUACCUCUUCACUGAUUACAGUGAGCAUUCUGGUCACGAAAGUGGCGUGGGUUCGAGUCCCACAGGUUGCA